rnacentral:rRNA from 1 species
AACGAACGCUGGCGGCAUGCCUAACACAUGCAAGUCGAACGGGACCUUCGGGUCUAGUGGCGCACGGGUGCGUAACGCGUGGGAACCUGCCCUUAGGUUAGGAAUAACUCCCCGAAGGGGGUGCUAAUACCGGAUAAUGUCUUCGGACCAAAGAUUUAUCGCCUUUGGAUGGGCCCGCGUUGGAUUAGGUAGUUGGUAGGGUAAAAGCCUACCAAGGCGACGAUCCAUAGCUGGUCGGAGAGGAGGAUCAGCCACGCUGGGACUGAGACACGGCCCAGACUCCUACGGGAGGCAGCAGUGGAGAAUAUUGGACAAUGGGCGAAAGCCUGAUCCAGCAGUGCCGCGUGAGUGAUGAAGGCCUUAGGGUUGUAAAGCUCUUUUACCCGGGAUGAUAAUGACAGUACCGGGAGAAUAAGCUCCGGCUAACUCCGUG